UAGGGAAUCUUGCGCAAUGGGCGAAAGCCUGACGCAGCAACGCCGCGUGCGGGAAGAAGGCUCUCGGGUUGUAAACCGCUUUUGGCAGGAACGAAAAUGACGGUACCUGCAGAAUAAGGUGCGGCCAACUACGUGCCAGCAGCCGCGGUGACACGUAGGCACCAAGCGUUGUCCGGAUUUAUUGGGCGUAAAGAGCUCGUAGGCGGUUCAGUAAGUCGGGUGUGAAAACUCUGGGCUUAACCCGGAGACGCCACCCGAUACUGCUGAACUUGAGUACGGUAGGGGGGUGGGAAUUCCUGGUGUAGCGGUGAAAUGCGCAGAUAUCAGGAGGAACACCGGUGGCGAAGGCGCCACUCUGGGCCGAAACUGACGCUGAGGAGCGAAAGCGUGGGUAGCAAACAGGAUUAGAUACCCUGGUACGUCCACGCCGUAAACGUUGGGCACUAGGUGUGGGCUCCAACCAACGGAGUCCGUGCCGUCGCUAACGCAUUAA
rnacentral:rRNA from 1 species